UUUGCCACAGCUUAAAAAAGUCUGUUGGUUUAAAUUGUAAAAAUCGAGCAGGCCUCUGAUUCACUCACCUGAGGAAGGAGCUGGGAUCUGCCACCCAUUUCUCAUCUCUUCCCUUUGUGGGCUUUCAUUCAUGCCUGCAGGAUUAGGUCUUCAAUGGUUACUCUGAAUGGUUAUUUAGAUUAAUGUAACACCUUUCAUGUCCCGAGGCUAAAGAGGCUUCUGUGUGUUUGUUCUUAUAGUAAUGUUGGAAAGCCCUUUUGAGGAAGAAAUUCAUGUCAAGGCAGCAAGAAGCUAUUUCUUUAUGUCAAUCAAUACCAAAAGAUUAAAUUGUGGGUAAGACAGAUCAGAAAAGGAACCACCACACACCACUCUCCAUGGGGAGCAGAAGGAGCUCACCAAGGCGUGCCUCACUCCUGUGCUGCUGUCCUUAAGUUCAGCCCUACAUAAGAAGACCUCCCCUGCACGACAGCAUGCAUGUGACCACACUCAACCACACAGACGCUGAUUGUCCAGUGACUGUCUCCACCACCCCACUGCCAGAAGAACCAAAAAUAGUAUGUGGGAAAGGCAUCAUGACAAGGACUUCUGAGACAGACCAGCAUGACCAACACUGAACUGCAAGGGAAGCUGUGGUAUGCACGGUGUCCACCCAGGACUGAAUGCCCCUGAAGCUUGUCUUCUAUGGACUCAUGGAGUUUGUGCUACUUGAUGGUUUCAAAUAUUACCUACCAGAGAGCUGAGAAUGUAGUUCAGUGACAAAGCAAUUGUGUAGGCUCCCAAAGCCCUGGGUUUGGUCCCCAGCACUGGAGGAAAAAUACUCAUUAUAUUUCAGAAUGAGCUGUCUUUGAUUGCCAAGGAAUGUGUGACAGAAAAAUAAACUACAUGUACACACACGUGGCAUUUCCUAAAAAAAUUGUUUCCAUAGAACUGUGUUCAUUUUUGACAUAUAAAAAUGAUGACAUGUCACCAUUAAGGAUAAUUGAGAAGAAUGAAAAGCAGAAAAAUAAUAAUAUAAUGACUUACUGAGCAUGCUUAUUUAACUACUGUAUAAAUUUAACCCUCAUGCAAUAAGAAGGCAUUUGGCAAAUCAGAUUAAGAACACAGUCUGAGUAAUAUCAGAGACUUAGAACUAACUACAUGUAUAUUCUCAGGAAGAUAUUUAAAUUACAAUUAUACACAAAUAUGCAGAACUGUACACAAAGACCCUAAAACACUAGUUAUGUGGUAAGACUCUUACUGAUGUGGUUUUGCUCUUUCAUAUUUUCU